ACUCGGGCGCCGGCCGGCUGGACGCAGGGCCGAGCAGGUGGUUUGGGGCCUCGGGAAGGCCAAACCCCCGCCUCUGGGCCCCUGGCUGGGGAAGACACCAGCCAAGUUCAGAGCCCCAAGUCGGCCUCACUUCCACAACUCAGCGUCAGGGACACCGUGGGCGUUUCUGUUUCAAAACGCUUUUCUCCAGCAAAGAACGUAACCUCAAGCUGCUGUCAGGGUAGAGGAAUCCCUGCCCCCCGCCGCCACCCAGAUAGGUUGGGCCGUGAUUUUGGCUGUGCCUGGCAGUGACGAUGUAGCGCACCCAGGCUGGGGGGCGCUGGCAGCCAGGGUUCAAAUCCCGGCUCUGCCACCUAACGCUGGGACUCAGUUUCUCCAUCUGUAGAAUG
rnacentral:lncRNA from 1 species